rnacentral:rRNA from 1 species
GACGAACGCUGGCGGCGUGCUUAACACAUGCAAGUCGAACGGAAAGGCCCUGCUUUUGUGGGGUGCUCGAGUGGCGAACGGGUGAGUAACACGUGAGUAACCUGCCCUUGACUUUGGGAUAACUUCAGGAAACUGGGGCUAAUACCGGAUAGGAGCUCCUGCUGCAUGGGGGGGGUUGGAAAGUUUCGGCGGUUGGGGAUGGACUCGCGGCUUAUCAGCUUGUUGGUGGGGUAGGGGCUUACCAAGGCUUUGACGGGUAGCCGGCCUGAGAGGGUGACCGGCCACAAUGGGACUGAGAUACGGCCCAGACUCCUACGGGAGGCAGCAGUGGGGAAUAUUGCACAAUGGGCGGAAGCCUGAUGCAGCAACGCCGCGUGCGGGAUGACGGCCUUCGGGUUGUAAACCGCUUUCGCCUGUGACGAAGCGUGAGUGACGGUAAUGGGUAAAGAAGCACCGGCUAACUACGUG